AACUACUGGAAACGGUAGCUAAUACCGCAUAACGUCGCAAGACCAAAGAGGGGGACCUUCGGGCCUCUUGCCAUCGGAUGUGCCCAGAUGGGAUUAGCUAGUAGGUGGGGUAAAGGCUCACCUAGGCGACGAUCCCUAGCUGGUCUGAGAGGAUGACCAGCCACACUGGAACUGAGACACGGUCCAGACUCCUACGGGAGGCAGCAGUGGGGAAUAUUGCACAAUGGGCGCAAGCCUGAUGCAGCCAUGCCGCGUGUAUGAAGAAGGCCUUCGGGUUGUAAAGUACUUUCAGCGGGGAGGAAGGGAGUAAAGUUAAUACCUUUGCUCAUUGACGUUACCCGCAGAAGAAGCACCGGCUAACUCCGUGCCAGCAGCCGCGGUAAUACGGAGGGUGCAAGCGUUAAUCGGAAUUACUGGGCGUAAAGCGCACGCAGGCGGUUUGUUAAGUCAGAUGUGAA
rnacentral:rRNA from 1 species